GAUGAACGCUGGCGGCGUGCCUAAUACAUGCAAGUCGAGCGAACAGACGAGGAGCUUGCUCCUCUGACGUUAGCGGCGGACGGGUGAGUAACACGUGGAUAACCUACCUAUAAGACUGGGAUAACUUCGGGAAACCGGAGCUAAUACCGGAUAAUAUAUUGAACCGCAUGGUUCAAUAGUGAAAGACGGUUUUGCUGUCACUUAUAGAUGGAUCCGCGCCGCAUUAGCUAGUUGGUAAGGUAACGGCUUACCAAGGCGACGAUGCGUAGCCGACCUGAGAGGGUGAUCGGCCACACUGGAACUGAGACACGGUCCAGACUCCUACGGGAGGCAGCAGUAGGGAAUCUUCCGCAAUGGGCGAAAGCCUGCCGGAGCAACGCCGCGUGAGUGAUGAAGGUCUUCGGAUCUUAAAACUCUGUUAUUAGGGAAGAACAAAUGUGUAAGUAACUAUGCACGUCUUGACGGUACCUAAUCAGAAAGCCACGGCUAACUACGUG
rnacentral:rRNA from 1 species